rnacentral:rRNA from 1 species
ACUCCUACGGGAGGCAGCAGUGGGGAAUAUUGGACAAUGGGGGAAACCCUGAUCCAGCCAUGCCGCGUGUGUGAAGAAGGCCUUUUGGUUGUAAAGCACUUUAAGCAGUGAAGAAGACUCCAUGGUUAAUACCCAUGGACGAUGACAUUAGCUGCAGAAUAAGCACCGGCUAACUCUGUGCCAGCAGCCGCGGUAAUACAGAGGGUGCAAGCGUUAAUCGGAAUUACUGGGCGUAAAGGGAGCGUAGGUGGCUCUAUAAGUCAGAUGUGAAAUCCCCGGGCUUAACCUGGGAACUGCAUCUGAAACUGUAGAGCUAGAGUAUGUGAGAGGAAGGUAGAAUUCCAGGUGUAGCGGUGAAAUGCGUAGAGAUCUGGAGGAAUACCGAUGGCGAAGGCAGCCUUCUGGCAUAAUACUGACACUGAGGCUCGAAAGCGUGGGUAGCAAACAGGAUUAGAUACCCUGGUAGUCCACGCCGUAAACGAUGUCUACUAGUCGUUGGGUCCCUUGAGGACUUAGUGACGCAGCUAACGCAAUAAGUAGACCGCCUGGGGAGUACGGCCGCAAGGUUAAAACUCAAAUGAAUUGACGGGGGCCCGCACAAGCGGUGGAGCAUGUGGUUUAAUUCGAUGCAACGCGAAGAACCUUACCUGGUCUUGACAUAUCUAGAAUCCUGCAGAGAUGCGGGAGUGCCUUCGGGAAUUAGAAUACAGGUGCUGCAUGGCUGUCGUCAGCUCGUGUCGUGAGAUGUUGGGUUAAGUCCCGCAACGAGCGCAACCCUUGUCCUUAGUUACCAGCGGGUUAAGCCGGGAACUCUAAGGAUACUGCCAGUGACAAACUGGAGGAAGGCGGGGACGACGUCAAGUCAUCAUGGCCCUUACGACCAGGGCUACACACGUGCUACAAUGGUAGGUACAGAGGGCAGCUACACAGCGAUGUGAUGCGAAAUCUCA